rnacentral:rRNA from 1 species
UGCCAGCCGCCGCGGUAAUACGGAAGGGGCUAGCGUUGUUCGGAUUUACUGGGCGUAAAGCGCGCGUAGGCGGCGGACCAAGUUAGGCGUGAAAGCCCUGGGCUCAACCCGGGAACUGCGCUUAAGACUGGUUUGCUUGAGUCCGGGAGAGGGUGGUGGAACUCCCAGUGUAGAGGUGAAAUUCGUAGAUAUUGGGAAGAACACCGGUGGCGAAGGCGGCCACCUGGACCGGUACUGACGCUGAGGUGCGAAAGCGUGGGGAGCAAACAGGAUUAGAUA